CCACUAUUUACAAACAUAUUACAAUUACACGUUAUUUAUGGUAAAACACUACCAAAUGGCAAGCCAUGUGUGAGAAUAAGAGCAAAAACACUGUAAAAAAAUUAAAUACUCCACAUUUCAUAAAAAUUACAUAAACAACAAACAAUAUCUGUUUGCAAAUAUCAAAUGGUUUUGACCUGACAGGAAUGUAAUCCUACCAUUUAAUUUAAGGCACAUUGGGGGGGAUUUAUCGACACUUUGCCACAAAGCAGACAUUACUCCUGGUUUGCACGUUGUUAUUUUUUUAGAAAAUAAUACACAUUUAAAAAUGUUUAACUACAGUUUGGUACAAUG